rnacentral:rRNA from 1 species
CAAUAGCGUAUAUUUAAGUUGUUGCAGUUAAAAAGCUCGUAGUUGGAUUUCGGUUAAGAGCGACCGUUCCGCCGUUUGGUGUGCACUGGUUGGUUUUAACUUCCUGUAGAGGACGUGCUCUGGGUUUAACGACCUGGACUCGGAGUCUACGUGGUUACUUUGAAAAAAUUAGAGUGUUCAAAGCGGGCUUACGCUUGAAUAUUUCAGCAUGGAAUAACACUAUAGGACUCCUGUCCUAUUUCGUUGGUCUCGGGACGGGAGUAAUGAUUAAGAGGAACAGUUGGGGGCAUUCGUAUUUCAUUGUCAGAGGUGAAAUUCUUGGAUUUAUGAAAGACGAACUUCUGCGAAAGCAUUUGCCAAGGAUGUUUUCAUUAA